rnacentral:rRNA from 1 species
UACGGAGGAUGCGAGCGUUAUCCGGAUUUACUGGGCGUAAAGGGCACGUAGGCUGCGAGGCGUGUCGAGUGUGAAAUCUCCGGGCCCAACCCGGAAAGUGCGCUCGAAACUACCCCGCUGGAGUACGGGAGAGGGAAGGGGAAUAUAGGGUGUAGCGGUGAAAUGCGUUGAUAUCCUAUAGAACACCGGAGGCGAAGGCGCCUUCCUGGAACGUUACUGACGCUAAGGUGCGAAAGUCGGGGGAGCAAAC